UUGGUGGCCUGCUUUUAGAUGACAGUGAUC
rnacentral:piRNA from 1 species